rnacentral:rRNA from 1 species
UGUAUAGGAGAAAUCCUACUUGCAUCAUUACAACUGGUGCAGGAUCCCUUUUAGGGUAUAAAGUUCUGGUUAGUGCUCUGAUAAUGACAGACUCUGGCUAUGUGUCUUGACCAAAUUACGUGCCAGCUGUCGCGGUAAUACGUAGAAGACUAGUGUUAUUCAUGUUUAAUCGGUUUAAAGGGUACCUAGACGGCAGAUCAAGCCUUCAAUAAUAAAAGGGACUAGUCUAGCUAGAGUUACUUAUGAGGAAGCCAUAAAGUACUACUGGUGUAGAGAUGAAAUUCUGUCAUACCUCUUCCCGCUAGGGAAACGACGGCACAGGUAAAGGCGAAGGCGUCUUCUUAUGGGAUAACUGA